rnacentral:rRNA from 1 species
ACGCACGCUGGCGGCGUGCUUAACACAUGCAAGUCGAACGAUGAACCCGGAGCUUGCUCUGGGGGAUUAGUGGCGAACGGGUGAGUAACACGUGAGUAACCUGCCCUGGACUCUGGGAUAAGCGUUGGAAACGACGUCUAAUACCGGAUAGGACCUUGGAUCGCAUGAUCUGGGGUGGAAAGUUUUUUCGGUCUGGGAUGGACUUGCGGCCUAUCAGCUUGUUGGUGAGGUAAUGGCUCACCAAGGCGUCGACGGGUAGCCGGCCUGAGAGGGUGACCGGCCACACUGGGACUGAGACACGGCCCAGACGCCUACGGGAGGCAGCAGUGGGGAAUAUUGCACAAUGGGCGAAAGCCUGAUGCAGCAACGCCGCGUGCGGGAUGACGGCCUUCGGGUUGUAAACCGCUUUUAGUAGGGAAGAAGGGCUUCGGCUUGACGGUACCUGCAGAAAAAGGACCGGCUAACUACGUG